rnacentral:lncRNA from 1 species
UGUACAUGUUUGCAGUAGAUGCAGUUUACAUUCAUCUUGAGAGAUCAACUCAUCUCUUCCUCGGCAAAUUCGCACACUUCAAGCUUUCCCUGGCGUGGCCUACACGACGGAGGAUACCCUCUUCUCACUAGCUGGUAAUCCAGCCCUUACUGCUGACCACAAUAAGGCCUGGCCAACAAGUCCCAUGAGGAACAGGACAUCCACCUGUUAGGGCAGAGCCCCACCCUCUUAAUUACCCCCAAACCUCACCUCCUCAUAGGUCCCACAGGAUUAGGGUUUCAACCUUGGAGCACUCUGUGGGCUAAGUGCGUGUCAAGGGAGGAGGGACGAAGCCCAGGG